rfam:Plautia stali symbiont DNA, complete genome.
GUCAGGGAGCCGGCAAAGCAAAAAAAGAGUGAGCCGGCAGCGCGUUCCGCGCGGCCGGCAAAC